AGCCACAGCCAUAUCAUCCUACAGCCUAAGACCGGUUACUUACUGAAGCUAAGCAGGGCUGAGCCUGGUUAGUACCAGGAUGGGAGACCACAUGGGAAAACUAGGUUGCUGUUGGAU
rfam:Danio rerio chromosome 22, GRCz11 reference primary assembly.